GAUGAACGCUGGCGGCGUGCCUAAUACAUGCAAGUCGAGCGAACAGACGAGGAGCUUGCUCCUUUGACGUUAGCGGCGGACGGGUGAGUAACACGUGGGUAACCUACCUAUAAGACUGGGAUAACUUCGGGAAACCGGAGCUAAUACCGGAUAAUAUUUCGAACCGCAUGGUUCGAUAGUGAAAGAUGGCUUUGCUAUCACUUAUAGAUGGACCUGCGCCGUAUUAGCUAGUUGGUAAGGUAACGGCUUACCAAGGCAACGAUACGUAGCCGACCUGAGAGGGUGAUCGGCCACACUGGAACUGAGACACGGUCCAGACUCCUACGGGAGGCAGCAGUAGGGAAGCUUCCGCAAUGGGCGAAAGCCUGACGGAGCAACGCCGCGUGAGUGAUGAAGGUCUGCGGAUCGUAAAACUCUGUUAUUAGGGAAGAACAAAAGUGUAAGUAACUGUGCACGUCUUGACGGUACCUAAUCAGAAAGCCACGGCUAACUACGU
rnacentral:rRNA from 1 species